rnacentral:lncRNA from 1 species
UCUCAGGCUUCAGGGUACUUAUGAGUCACCUCAAGAUCUUGCUAAGAUGCAUGUUCUAAAUCAAAGACAGGGCCGGAGACUCUGCAUUUCUAAUAAGCUCCAGGAGUUGCAAAAGGUUAGAGGUUUUGCAGGAGAUCUUCUCUAAGGUUAAGAAGCCUCACAGGACUUGACUGCUCUUUCUCUGUCUUUUACACUGGUGUUACCUAUAGGCCCCAGGAAAUGCUUGUUAAAGCAAUGAAGUAAAUACUUGCCACCAAUGCUAAAAAGGAAAACAAUAUGCCAUUGACAAAAAACUUCCUAAGGAUUAUGGGCUGCAUCAUCCCAGAAGCUAAUGAAUACACUGGUCCCCCGUGGCCCAGAAAGGAACUCAGGAUGCCAGGGGUUGCUGAGACACUGGUUGGCCAAGUGGAGACCAGGGAGGAGCAUGCAUGUGCACACACGCAGACAGACAGACAGACAGACACACACACACACGCACACACACACACACACACCCUGUCACACAUUUCUUUAAGCCAAUAGCACUCAAACUUGAUUGACUGUGCAAGAGGAUUACCUGGAGGGCUUGUAAGUACACAGUCUAUUUUUCUGUUUCAAGAAAGUCUGGGGUGGAGGUGAGAAUGUGCAUUUCUAACAAGUUCCCAGAUGCUGUUGAUGAUGCUAGCAUAGGCACUUUGAGAACCACAGCUUUAAACAAAUUGAGAAGAUCAAGUAGCUAGAUGAAACACAGAGUUGGUUCUUCUGUAAUUGAGCACACAUCUGUUCCAUGUGGCAUGGCCAGACUCUGAAGCCAGGUGGAUUUCAUUUGUAGCAGCCUGGCCUCUGCCAAGGCCUUACCAGGAUGCUUGUUUUGAAGCAAUUAAUGAUCCCCUUGCUUCAGUGCAAUCUAUUGCCUAGUGAUAUCUGGCAUCAUCACCAUUAGCAGCAUCCGCCAGGGAACGUAACUGGGAUUCUGAAGCUCUCUGUGGAAAAGUACUCUUCCUUUAGGAAAGUGGUAGUCGCUCUUAUUUCUUCCCCCAGCUUAUAAGACAGCUUUAUUCUAACAUUUAUAGGUAGCAUUACAGUGUGAGGAGUCUGAAGCUCUUAAACAUUAUGAACCAGAAGUAUAGAACUUACUUGUUUGUUAUGUAAAUGUUAUUAAUUUUCUUUGAAAUGAAAAGGCCAAAAGAAAACCCAAAUAUACUAAUAGUACUUUCUAGUUAUUUUCUCACUGAGACAAACCAUGAAUUUGUCACUAGACCAGAAUAUAAAAACAGCAUUCUAGAAGAAAAGAAAUUGUAUGCUGUUGAAUGUCAGGUGCACAAAUUCUUGCACCAUGCAGGUUAUUUUAAAUUCUUGAAUCUUAUUUUAUCCCCUGAGAAGUGCUUUUUAAUUGGUAGUGGAAGUAAAUAUAAGUUAAAAAAUAGUAUCUUUCAAUUGCAUCACUGAACGGAUAGUAAGUCAGGACACUUUCUUUUCAUUUUGUAUUUGUGACAUUUUCCAUUUCAGUCACUUACACUAAACAUCCAGAAAGGUCAAGAUGAGCUGCCAAAUACAGGUUUCCCGAAAUGCUGUUGAAAUUUCUUAUCUUUGCAUCCUCGUACCAACCUGCCUAAACAUGUUUCCUUAAAUAAGUGUCAGCCUGGGCUGCUGGGCAACAGUAAGGCCUUUGGGUGUAAAUUGCUCAGGACCUGUACCCACGAGAGAGCUGGCCUCGGAUAUCUAAAGCCCAGGAUGGGCACCCAAGGGGAAGGACUCUGGGGCCCUGUGUCUUCUGACACCUAUUUUACUUCAGUAUUGGCUGACAUCAAAAGAACUGGGAUGUCAGUACAGAAAAUGCAGAUAUUUAUUUACAAUUAAUAACUAACUGCAUUUAUAAAUAAAUAUAUUUAUAAUAACUAACUGUGAGGAUGGUUUUGCCUAGUGUUGACUGCAUUCCUUCUUAUGCUACAGGGAAGUGACAUAAACAGAAGCAGGCAGAUAGAAAUGCCGCUGCGCAGAGUCCACAACACUUGAAUAUUUCGAUUGAGAAGCAGCCCUAACAGACUAAGACGAAUACUAACUGAGGACCCACCAGACUUGGAGAAAUAAACCCCUUUUGACUGAGCCAACUGAGGCUGCUCUUGAAAUCAAAAUCUAUCAUAAAGUAAGAGUGAAGCUGCAGCGUGGGUCUACCUAAAACUCAAUUCAAGGGCCUUGGGAUCGAGGGCAGGAGUGUGCCUGUGACCAGCUGUCAUUAGUUCUAUUGACUACCUGUGGGAAAGCUGGUCAAGUGGCCACUUGCUCACCUCAAGACAAUGAAUGAAGCUUUCCUGGAUGCUAAGUGACUGCCACCUUGUGAGCUAAGCCUGGCAAGACCUUUGGGCUACACUUCCCUCCUCACUGUGAGCUGUGGCUUGGGCAGGCUCAAAGGGGCCCACUCACUCUGCAGAUGUGCCUCAGGGACAUGGAUGACUCUGCCAGCUGCACUUGAGGGCAAAAUAAUCAUUUACAGCUUCCCAGGCUACACCUCUUGGACAUACACAUUGGAGGAAACAGAUGUCUGCUGUAAAAUUAACAAGAGCACUUCUACAUCCAGACAGUGAUGAAUAAACUCAAAGGAAAGGAAAAUCAUUUGGCAACCGGAAGGUGUGGGAGGAUAGCUGUAAAUGAAACUGACGGCAAAAAACAGAGCAGAGAAGUUUAAAGAAAAAAAAUAACAGCAUUCCUGGUGAUGCCCCAUUGGGCCAAUGAAACAAACACAUUCUGAAGCCUUUCCUAACCAGGAGCCAACCAAUCUCAUCACUGUGAAGCCAGAAAACCCUAUCUAUUGAAGAUGACUGCUUUCUUCUACUGUAGCUGGCAAUUUUAUGAAAUGAAGAAAAUUUGCUCUAGUUGCAAGUGACACACACCUCUUAAAUGUCUGCUAUCAAUUAAAAGUAAAAUACUGGUUACUUGCAACUAUCAAUUAGAUACAAUGCACUCCAGGAGAUCAGGAGCCUUGGCAUUCAGACAUAGGAGCAUUUUUUUGGCUUUGCCAUUUACUUGCAAUGUGACCUUGAUGAGAGAGAAGUUGAUGCUCAGCGAGGUGAAGUAAUUUGCCCAGGGUUAAGAUUCAAAUGCAAGUCUGGGGACCCUGAAGUCUGCUUCUUUUCACUGUGCUGCGUAGUGGCCUUAGCCUUUCCUUUCUAACAGAGAAGCCAAGACAGCAUACCUGUGUCUGAGUGCCCCAGUGGUGUGCACAUCUAUUACCUCAGGAAGAAAGAAUGUCUGAGGAGACGAAAUUUGCAAACAGUUACAAAGGACUGCACACACAAAUAUGAAUAAAGCCUCUUGAACACCAGA